rnacentral:misc_RNA from 1 species
GUGAGUCAUCGAAUCUUUGAACGCACCUUGCACCCUUUGGCAUUCCGAAGGGUAUGCCCGUUUGAGUGUCAUUGUAAUCUCACACCUCUGGCCUUUUCGUCGGGGGAGGUGGACUUUGGAGGCCUGUCGCCGUCGAGGUGGCUCCUCUCGAAAGCAUUAGCGUGCUCCUGGUCGAGCGCAAACCGGUGUGAUAAGUGUUUCGCCGGGCCGUUUGACCGUCAGAGGCGCUCGCAAACCGUCCUUUGCCGGGACCGUCGCUCCGCGGCGAUUUGACAAUUUGACCUCAAAUCGGGUAGGACUACCCGCUGAACUUAAGCAUAUCAAUAAGCGGAGGA